rnacentral:rRNA from 1 species
GACGAACCGUGCGAACGUUAUUCGGAAUCAUUGGGCUUAAAGGGCGCGUAGGCGGCGGUGUAAGUUGGAAGUGAAAUCCCAUCGGCUCAACCGUGGAAUUGCUCCCAGUACUGCAUCGCUCGAGGGGGAUAGGGGUUUGCGGAACUACCGGUGGAGCGGUGAAAUGUGUUGAUAUCGGUGGGAACGCCAGUGGCGAAAGCGGCAAACUUGACCCUUCCUGACGCAUGAGGCGCGAAAGCUAGGGGAGCAAAC